rnacentral:rRNA from 1 species
GCAAGCGUUGUUCGGAUUUACUGGGCGUAAAGGGCGCGUAGGCGGUAGCACAAGUCAGUUGUGAAAUCUCCGGGCUUAACUCGGAAAGGUCAACUGAUACUGUGCGACUAGAGUGCAGAAGGGGCAACUGGAAUUCUCGGUGUAGCGGUGAAAUGCGUAGAUAUCGAGAGGAACACCUGCGGCGAAGGCGGGUUGCUGGGCUGACACUGACGCUGAGGCGCGAAAGCCAGGGGAGCGAACGGG